GAAUAUUGGACAAUGGGCGCAAGCCUGAUCCAGCAAUGCCGCGUGCGUGAAGAAGGCCUUAGGGUUGUAAAGCGCUUUCACCCGUGAAGAUGAUGACGGUAGCGGGAGAAGAAGCCCCGGCUAACUCCGUGCCAGCAGCCGCGGUAAUACGGAGGGGGCUAGCGUUGUUCGGAAUUACUGGGCGUAAAGGGCGCGUAGGCGGCUCGUCGAGCCGGAUGUGAAAGCCCCGGGCUCAACCCGGGAUGUGCAUUCGAUACUGGCGGGCUCGAGUCCGGGAGAGGAUGGCGGAAUUCCCAGUGUAGAGGUGAAAUUCGUAGAUAUUGGGAAGAACACCGGUGGCGAAGGCGGCCAUCUGGACCGGCACUGACGCUGAGGCGCGAAAGCGUGGGGAGCAAAC
rnacentral:rRNA from 1 species